UGAUAAAAUUUUUCAUCUAUUUGUGUUGUUAAAAACGGACUUAGCUAACGGAAUAACUAGAUAAUGAUACGUGACGUGUCAUGUGUACCUCAUGAUAGGAACAAGUUUUUCACGGUAAAAAUAGAUAGAAUUUUUAACA
rfam:Gossypium raimondii Chr11_contig_37, whole genome shotgun sequence.